rnacentral:misc_RNA from 1 species
UAUCCGUAGGUGAACCUGCGGAUGGAUCAUUACUAAAGUAUCCAUCCUACGUUUUGUGAACUGUUUUGACUAUCAUAGUCAGUGUCUGGUGUGCUGUAACGGCCAUCGAUGCUGACUACACUGAAUGUAUAUUUAAACUGACUGAGAGUACUAUACUUAUAGUAACCAAUGAGAACUUUUAGCAACGGAUCUCUUGGCUCUC